AUUGAACGCUGGCGGUAGGCCUAACACAUGCAAGUCGAACGCGAAAGUCCUUCGGGAUGAGUAGAGUGGCGGACGGGUGAGUAACGCGUAGGAAUCUAUCCUGUAGUGGGGGAUAACGUUUCGAAAGGAACGCUAAUACCGCAUACGCCCCAAGGGGGAAAGCGGGGGAUCUUCGGACCUCGUGCUAUAGGAGGAGCCUGCGUCGGAUUAGCUAGUUGGUGAGGUAAAGGCUCACCAAGGCGACGAUCCGUAGCUGGUCUGAGAGGAUGAUCAGCCACACCGGAACUGAGACACGGUCCGGACUCCUACGGGAGGCAGCAGUGGGGAAUAUUGCGCAAUGGGCGAAAGCCUGACGCAGCCAUACCGCGUGUGUGAAGAAGGCCUUCGGGUUGUAAGGACAC
rnacentral:rRNA from 1 species